rnacentral:antisense_RNA from 1 species
GAAACCACGGCAUGGAGACGGAAUGAUGCAGACUCCUAUCCGCGAGACACCUGCUGUAAUUUCGCUGUGGUUCGUGAGGACGCGUCCUGGGCUGCCCUGAGAAGCCUACGUCUCCCCUUCGAGGCCUGGGAAGACCUCCGACCACGCUGACAAUGCUGGGCCCUCAGCCAGACCUGCCCUGCGUGCCACGUUCUGUUCUGAGAUCGGGCUGCCGAGCUGUGGCCUGGAGGAAACCUGGCAGGUGGGGCUGCCAUGAGCAGCAAGCUCAGUCCAGAAGAGCAGUUCCUCUCCAGGAUCCACUUCCUGCGCACUUUUAUGUGCAGUGUAGCUGGAGCAGAGCUCCCCGGAAUUCCACAGGCAACUGAGAACGGAGAGGGAUGCAGGCCAGCCAGGGAUCCAGCGUCUUCCCCAUCGUCACUCUUCAUGGCCUCCGUCUGCACACAGUGUUCGUUUGCACAGCUUGUCAGCGCGUUAUCAUGACUUCUAUUUGGCACCGGCCCGUCUGUCCACUCUCCUGGCUUGUUCCAAGCGCU